UACGAAGGGGGCUAGCGUUGUUCGGAAUUACUGGGCGUAAAGGGUGCGUAGGUUGUAUGGUUAGUUAGUGGUGAAAGCCCAGGGCUUAACUCUGGAAUUGCCAUUAAAACUGCCAUGCUAGAGAGUGAUAGAGGUGAGUGGAAUUUCUAGUGUAGGAGUGAAAUCCGUAGAUAUUAGAAGGAACAUCGAUGGCGAAGGCAGCUCACUGGGUCACAACUGACGCUGAGGCACGAAAGCGUGGGUAGCAAACAGG
rnacentral:rRNA from 1 species